CUUUGUCAAACAAUCCAUAAACUCUUAAUGCCACAUAGCACAAGAUAGUUGCAAGACAAGUUCUGAGAACCAGCUAAAACAACAACAACAAAAAAAAAUCAAUGAGAGACAGUUUCUCCCAAUUUACAAUGUGAUCAUAGGACAUAGCAUUUCAUAUCAUACCCUUUUUACCCAUUAAGGGAACGGCUCAUGUUUUGGGAAGUUCGCCCCCUCCAGCUCAGGGUUCCUUGGUGGGAUUCUCGCUCUUCCUAUCAAUAUCAGUUGCAGUGGCUGCCAGAAGAUUUGGUAGCUGUGGAUGCCCGGGGCUGUAAAUCUAGGCCAGGGGUUGUGUGGGAUGCUCAGAUAAAUGGGUUGGGCUUUGUUUUAUUGCAACACUGCAUGUCUUAACUUUCUGUGUCUACCAGGGAUUUAGGAAAAUUUGCCACUGUCCUUGGGCCUCUCUCUGCAACAGCAGCUCUGAGUUGGGGUUGAGUCAGCCCUGGUGCCCCGAGAUUACAUAAAUAUCCUCUAUGAGCCAUUCACCACUAUAUCCAUGCUGCCACUGUUUUGGUUUGCUUUUUUUUUCUUCUUAUCUUUAGCAGCAUUUUGUUUUUUUUUGUUGCGUGGGUGCAGGGUGGGAGUCUCAGAUUAAAAGGGAAACUGAGGAUCUUCAUUUAACCCAAUUUGACGAGUCCUUUCACACUGUGCCCGACAAUUAAAUGUGGAGAGUCACCAUUUUCUCAAUGGAGGAUGUUUCUGCUCUCGUGUCCUCUGCUCGGGACCUAUAAAGGUCUCUGCAUGUGAUGCAGCUGUUUGUCAUUCGUGUGCAACUGAGCAUCUACGCAAAGGAGAAGUGGGCCACUGAGACACAAAGCAAUAUUAACCCUGAGGAAAUGUGUCACAUUUCUGAAUGUCUUUUGUGAUAAGGUUUCUUUUCUUCCCAGUGCCUCCUCUCAAAAAGCACAGCGAUAGACAAAGGCAAAGAUACGGCUUAUUAGAACUAUUUCUAUCCAACAGUAUCAUUUCACUCUUCUACUUUAAGACUGGACUGCCCACCACUAUUAUGUCAUUCAGCACCUGCACUUCAACCACGGCUGAAAUCCACAGUGGGCGCAGGCCAAAAGGACCUACAGAGAGAGAAACUACAUCUCUGGAGUCUCUUGUCCUAAAUCUAACUUCCUGUUGUUGUGGCUCGA